rnacentral:tRNA from 1 species
GCCUUGGUGGCGGAACUGGAAUACGUGCUUGGCUUAGGACCAAGUUCCCGCAAGGGAUUGAGAGUUCGAAUCUCUCCCAAGGCA